rnacentral:lncRNA from 1 species
GUCUUGCUACUACCUGGCGCGCGACGUGGCCUUAUUGUGCGCCCUCUUCUUCUCGGCUGACACGUACAUUCCCUCCCUCACGUGGCCGCUUCAAUGGGUGGCGUGGCCUAUCUACUGGGCCGCGGCGGGGACCAUGGCCUUCGGAUUGUGGUUUCACGGCCACGAGUGCAUCCACGACGCCUUCAGCAACCACAAGUGGAUCAACGAUGCGGUCGGAUUUGUCGUUUUCACGGGUCUUCUCGUGCCGUAUUUCCCGUGGAAGUGCUCGCACAUCAAGCACCACGCCAACACGGGCACUCUCGAGAAAGACGAGGCUGUCGUCCCGAAACAGAGGCCCUCGAAAGCUAGGAGGUUCCUGAACAACCGCUUGGGCCGCAUUCUCAUCAUGGGGCUGAUGUUGACGAUAGGGUACCCGGCAUACCUACUGUUCCACAUCACAGGACGCAGCUACCCUCAACGCAACAACCACUUCUGGCCGUUCAGCCCUAUGAUACCGCGACGCAUGCGCCCCUGGGUGUUCUUGUCCGACUUCGGAGUGCUCGCUGUGCUAGUUUCACUCGCCUGGCUAGUACACUUGCACGGCGUUGCUUGGUUGGCCACUCGCUAUUGGGCCCCGUAUAUGGUCGUCAACGCUUGGCUAGUUGCGUCCACGCUCAAUCAUGCUCACCCGGCACUGGCGCACUAUGACGAGGACACGUGGGACUGGCUCCUAGGGACGCUGACCUGCACGAUGGACCGUGAUUUCGGGCCGCUGCUAAACUGGGUGUUUCACGAUGGCCUCAAUUUCCACACGGUGCACCACGUGUUCCCGCGGAUCCCGCACUACCACUUGCGCGAGGCGACGGAGGCGCUGAAACCCGUGCUCGGCGAGUACUACCACAGCGACGCCACACCCCCGCAUCGAGCCCUCUAUCAGGUCGUCAAGGAGUGCGUCUUCGUCCGCGAAGACCUAGACCAGAGAGGGGUCUACUGGUACGAGGGACUCUUCGACAUGUAGUGAGGACGUGCCUAUACUGACGUGAUAGCGAAGAGAGCCGUAAGUGCAAAAUUUUCGAAAUCGAGUUUUCUUCAAAAUUCGUCUAAACUCUUUUAGAUGAAAUUACUGAGACAGCGAAAACAGCAAAAUUCGUCCUAAUUUAAUGAAAACGAGACGUAUGAGAAACCCGUAAGCGCACAAAAAAUGACUAUAGUUUUUUUCAAGACAGCCGUAGGUGCAUGAGAACCAAUGAAAACAGUGCUCUUCAGUAAAGUGCCGCCCUCUUCUGCCAAUUUCUAACCUGAAAAUGUGUUUGUUGUGCGUUCAAAACGCAACCACGAAAGCAUGCAGAAGAUAGCACUUUCGGCUGCCUUGCCUAACAAUAACCUAACACGAAACUGAAUUUUACCUUUUUCAUGUACUUUAAAAUAAAAUCGGUCGAGUCUGAAUCCCCCAAAUGAUUUCUAGGAGUCUUCCGGACGAAUAGUGGCAAUUUGACAAAGAACGGAGGCUUCUUUCAAUAAAAUGUUCCGGUCAGAAGCUUCUGAGCCCGUUUUCUCAGAACUUCAUUUUUGCAGUUACGGCUCUCUUCGCUAUCACGGCAGUAUAGAGAUCAUGACCAUAGAAUAAAUAGACUACGCCAACAGAAGCGAAAGCUCCGUAAGAACCAAUGUUAACAUUUGUCUUCCCGGGGUCGGUCAAUCUUCGUACUUAUUGAAACCUGAUUUGAGGUUAACCUACGAUUAUAGUUGGAAAGAAAGAUAAAAUUUUAAGCAACCCUACAGUACUUCUCCGGAAUAACAUUUCAAUUCCUAAAAACGUCUGUUUCCCAUCCGGCCUCUCCAGAACGUCGACAUGCCGCAGAUGUAAACAGUACGUAUUGACACAGUUUCGCUUCGAUGACAUAAAAAUGGCGGAGGCUUUCGCUUCCGUUGAUGUAGUCUAUUUAUUCUAUGUCAUGACCAAUCCCACGGAGAGUGGAAUAAGAAUGGUUUUAGAGAUUACAGACUAACGUGAGUUGGAGAGUGGAGGAAACACUGUAGCGCAAAUGUUUAAAUAUAUGCUAUCUUUGGACAGUUUUCUCCGUUUUAACCCAUUCACCCAAGUAGCAGUGAUCGCGAUAAAGUGCGAUUUGAUUGGAGAAUGUAACGUGAUUUUAGCAACGUCGAUUUAUUGCUAUGAUAUCGGAUGAUUGCGAUUAAUUGCGAUUUCAUCGCAUUUUGCAAUAAAACUGCGAUUUUAUCGACGGCGCAACAUUGUCGAACAGAAAAUUUUGAUAAAUUCCGAUAAAAUUUCGAUUUUAUCGAACGCAAUUUCUUAGAGAUAAAAUUGCGACGAGAUUGAGGAUAAUCGCUCGGAUUUUGAUGAUCCUAGCGAUUUUUUGGUUGAAGAAUGCUACGUACUUAGGCAACUUGUAUGAAUUUUACGCCUGUUUUUCAUUUCAAAUGUAUUGUUGAACUAUAGUUUACUGUGACGAAUUUAGGGAAAUAAGGAUUUCUGGGAGCAGCAAAAAAUGAAAAAAACCAGCGACCAUUAUCCAGCGGUUUUAAAAAAGAGGGGCGCAGAAUGAAAUUAAAUCUUCCCUCAUCUCGAUGGUUAUCGACGGUGUAAGUCGGCAAUCACAUAACUCGGAAAACGCGAUUUUCAGGAGAGGGGAAAAACUCUCCACAUUCCUCAUCUUUGAAGGUAGAGGGGAAAUAAUUCUUAGAGACAGCAAGGAUUAGAUGCUUUAUAAGACUCUAUCAUCAUUUUGAAUAAUAUUCCCGUAUGUCAGGAGAAAUGACCGAAAAACCGAGUUAUGUGUUUGUGGAACUAAGGUCCAACACUGAAUUCCGAGAUACGUGGUUGGUGAAUUACUGAUUCAAACCUAUUCUUUGCCGAUGUUGACUGAAUAAAGACUGAACAAGACUCCUCUCACUUUAAAAGUAGCCUAAAGUUCUUCCUUAAAAUCCUUAAAAUUUUCGAUAUAAAAUAUACCUUAUCUAUACCUACCUUUUUUUUAAAAAAAAUAAAAAUAUUACUUUAUUUUAAAAACAUUUACAUUUUUAAAACGUGGCAAAUAUUUGUAAAACCUUUUCCAAGCGAUUGCAUCGAUAUUAAUCUCAAUGAGCCGUAGUUGUGUUGAAAAAAUCUACACAAAAAUGAAUAAAAGAGGAAAAAACAAGAAGCAUGCAAUCUUUGGUUUUGAUUUGACCCAUUUGUACAUUGAUCUCUCAGA